rnacentral:rRNA from 1 species
AUUGAACGCUGGCGGCAUGCCUUACACAUGCAAGUCGAACGGCAGCACGGGAGCAAUCCUGGUGGCGAGUGGCGAACGGGUGAGUAAUAUAUCGGAACGUGCCCAGUCGUGGGGAUAACGUAGCGAAAGCUACGCUAAUACCGCAUACGAUCUAUGGAUGAAAGCGGGGGAUCGCAAGACCUCGCGCGAUUGGAGCGGCCGAUAUCAGAUUAGGUAGUUGGUGAGGUAAAGGCUCACCAAGCCGACGAUCUGUAGCUGGUCUAAGAGGACGACCAGCCACACUGGGACUGAGACACGGCCCAGACUCCUACGGGAGGCAGCAGUGGGGAAUUUUGGACAAUGGGCGCAAGCCUGAUCCAGCAAUGCCGCGUGCAGGAUGAAGGCCUUC